UUUUUAUUGAAAAAUAAAAAAAAAAGUUAUUUUAUAAUUUACAGUUACGUGUGCAAAAGUCAAAUUUCUUACGUAAAAAAAAAAAAAAAUAAAUUCAGUGUCGUGCUUUUAGAUUUUUUUUUUUUAAAGAAGUCAUCAUGAUAUGCAAAUUGUUGCCUAAAUUUUGUUGAAAAAUAUAAAUAUCUGGGUUGAAAAUUUGUAUAAUAUUGGAAGUGACAUAUAUAUAUAUAUAUAUACAUAUGAUGACGGGGCAUAUGGUGGUGUAUAUAUCAGCUUAACAAUGCGAUUUGAAUGUAUCCUGGUGUGAACAUUGACACCGGGAACCGGUGACAUUGGCUACACGCGAACCAACCAAUGAGAGAAGCGGAGUCAGGGUUCUCAAUCAUGAUCCAACGCCAGGCAAAGGAAACAGCCAGAAGCGCAGGAAACGGGAAACGUGGUGGAAAUUGAAAAUGUGAUGGACAACGGGGGUGAGAGGGGACAGAUGGCGGCACCGGAUAUAUAUAGAGGGUGGAGCUCAAACCCUGCGGAAAUUACGAAACUUGCGUUCGUAUUCCGAGUUCUCGGAUUAACGCGUGUUUGCGUUCCCGAAAAUCCACAACAUCGCAUCAGUGCGCGGCAAAUGGGGGAGAAAUUUCUGAAUUUUAUUUUGGCUCAGGUGCUCUCCUAUAUAUAUAUAUAUGUAUAUUAAAUAUUAUGAUUGUCUAAGUAUAUGAGGUUUUUGAAAGAACUCCGUAAAAUAAGAGGGUACCUGAUGGCUAAAAUGGAAAGACGGUAGAAAAACGGAAUGAUGGCUU